rnacentral:rRNA from 1 species
AACGUAGGACGCAAGCGUUAUCCGGAGUUACUGGGCGUAAAGCGCGGGCAGGCGGCCUGCCAAGUGGGGUGUGAAAGCUCCCAGCUUAACUGGGAGAGGCCAUUCCAAACUGACAGGCUGGAGGGCAGUAGAGGUAGGCGGAAUUCCGGGUGGAGUGGUGAAAUGCGUAGAGAUCCGGAGGAACACCAGAGGCGAAGGCGGCCUACUGGGCUGCACCUGACGCUGAGCCGCGAAAGCCAGGGGAGCGAACGGG